rnacentral:tRNA from 1 species
GCCGGCGUGGUGAAACUGGUAGACGCAGUGGACUCAAAAUCCACCGGUAGCAAUACCCUGGGGGUUCGAUUCCCUCCGCCGGCACCA